rnacentral:rRNA from 1 species
GGCCGCGGGAAUUCGAUUCAGGCCUAACACAUGCAAGUCGAACGGAAAGGCCCUGCUUGCAGGGUACUCGAGUGGCGAACGGGUGAGUAACACGUGGGUGAUCUGCCCUGCACUUCGGGAUAAGCCUGGGAAACUGGGUCUAAUACCGGAUAGGACCAUCGUUUAGUGUCGGUGGUGGAAAGUUUUUCGGUGCAGGAUGAGCUCGCGGCCUAUCAGCUUGUUGGUGGGGUAAUGGCCUACCAAGGCGUCGACGGGUAGCCGGCCUGAGAGGGUGGACGGCCACAUUGGGACUGAGACACGGCCCAGACUCCUACGGGAGGCAGCAGUGGGGAAUAUUGCACAAUGAAGGGCAAGCCUGAUGCAGCGACGCCGCGUGGGGGAUGAAGAAAUUCGGGUUGUAAACUCCUUUCAACCAUGACGAAGCAUUAU